CAGUCGCCGCGGGAAUACGAAGGGGGCUAGCGUUGCUCGGAAUGACUGGGCGUAAAGGGCGCGUAGGCGGUUUGUACAGUUGGAUGUGAAAUUCCUGGGCUUAACCUGGGGGCUGCAUUCAAUACGUGCAGGCUUGAGUGUGGAAGAGGGUUGUGGAAUUCCCAGUGUAGAGGUGAAAUUCGUAGAUAUUGGGAAGAGCACCGGUGGCGAAGGCGGCAACCUGGUCCAUUACUGACGCUGAGGCGCGAAAGCGUGGGGAGCAAACAGGAUUAGAUACCCCGGUAGUCCCUGUCUCUUAUAC
rnacentral:rRNA from 1 species